AGAUUUCAAAAUUGUGCGUGUUACUUUGACUUGUAGCAUCUCUACCUUAAAAUGAUUUUAUUGUGAUGAAUCUGGUCAGUUUAUAGUUGUCCUCUCAGUUUCUUAAUCACAGAACUCUGUAAACCUUCCAGCUUCAGUUGGUGUCAUUUAAUGAUUGUGUUUGAAUGCAUUUGUUAUUUAUUACUAUCGAACCUGGCUUCUUGGUUGUUUAUUUCAGGAUUUCUUGAAGUUCAAUAAGUCUUUAUUGGAAGGUAUAACAUGCAAAAUACUUGAUCCCAUUCCAUUGGGAGAGGGUGCUGGUGUUGGCUUGCCAAGAGGUAGGGAUAAGGUGCAAAUUACUGAAGGGACAACUCUUUGCCAGCUAGUUGAGGCUGGAAUUAAAGACUCACAUGCUGCUGUUGGAGUGGCAGUUAGAUUGAGGAAGGAAUUAUCUAAAGUGACUAGUGUCCCUGUUCUUAUUGCAAUUGAUCAAGUGAGAAUUCUGUCAACUUCUUAUAUUUCCCUUCCCAGAGUGACUAUUUGCCUUUUUGAAUUUAUUUGCAUCUUCUGCUAAUCGGCUGCUGUAUCUGGACAGUAUAACAAUUGGUUCACAUUUACCAACUUUGAGGAGCCAGUGACGGAUCGUUCUUGUCGACCCAUUCAUGCUAGAGAAGUUGCUACUGUAAGUUGUGAUCUAUUAAAAUAUAACUUGAAAAUUUCAAUUCUUCAUUAAGUGGGGUCAUUUUGUCUGGAUAACUGAAUGCUAGCUGUUUAUGUAUUUCAAUUUAGUGGACCAGGAAGAGACAACUUUAUGUCCCUUUCGCAAGUAGAGAUGUAUUGUAUGGUCUAGGGGUAAGUGUGUUUGAAAUGAAUCACCUUUUGAAUGGUUAGGCUAUGAUUCUUGGUUUUUCUCGUUAUAUAAUUAGCAUUAGCCCUUUUACUUUGAAUGUCCAUAUAUCUGCAAGAGGAGGAAUGAAGGUAAGUUUUGGUCUUUGGUGACACUUUAACAGNAAUUAAGUAUUUCUUUUCUUGAAAUACUAUACUCCUACAAAUUUUAUCUCUUGUUAUUUACGCCUCUCUCUCACACCGAAAACCCUUUUCCUCUUCCUGCCUUUCUCGUAGUCUUGCAUCUCUCUCACACUCGCUCGUCGUGCCGCACAGAUCUUCCCACCUCGCCUUCUCCGGCAACAGCUGUAGUACGGUACGUCUCCUUUUUUCAUUGCCCCAUUCGCCUCGUUUUCACUCGCCGCCACCGUCUUCUCCGCUAACAGCCGCAAAAGGGAAAAUCAGCAGUAGCGUUGCAAGCCUCGAGAAGUUUGCCUCUACAGUUGCAUCAGUCCGCCUCUCUGACCUCCGCGGCUCUGUGUGAGUGCCUUCGUCCGACUUUCACAACUACAGCCAAAUAACUCAAUUAGGGCUUCGAAUUUCCCCUUUUUUCUUCUCGUUCUUCUCUAUUCACGAUUUUUGAAUUUUGUUGUAUUUAUCUGCUAUUCAAAAUGUACCUAUUUAUGGGUAGGUGAAUCUUGAAUUUUUCUUUUUUUAUUUUGUUUAAAAGGAGGUUUCUUGGUAUAAUCCGAUUUGAAAACUUAAGUUCGUUCAAAGUUUUGGAGAAAGGUUGAAUGGUUUUCUUUUGCAGGGGUUUCUGAAAAAUUGAGAAAAUUUUGAAGAACUCUCGACAACUGCCACAGUUUUUGUAAGCGUUUCAGUUUUUACAACUAUCAUAUUCAAUUUUAGCGGAAAAAAUUUGUGUUUUAGCGGGAAUAAGUUACCGUUUAAUUGGUCUUUUAUAUAGUAUAUAGAUUAUAUAGAUUAAAAUAAAUAUGCUGCUUCGAUCGCUCCUUCGAGCAACCGCCGGCGCCGCGUCACUCCGGCAAUCUCAGUGGCAGCUUACCAAUUGCCGGAGCAUGGCCUCGAAAACGCCUAAAGGUGGUUCCAGCAAAGGAAAGAACCCCCAGCCAAAAUUUGAUAAGAAAACACAGUCGAAAUCCGAUCUCAAGGAUAAGAAGCCCCAAGAAGUGCUGGUGGCAAGCCCCGAAUCUAUUGCUAAACAAGACGCGGAGCUCCGCCGCCGCCUGCUAGCGGAGGAUGAGAAGAACCCCGCCCUCGACGUAGGCCCCAAUGGCCACCCCUUCUUCACUUCGGCUCCGUCUCUCUCUUCGCUCACCGGGGAUGAUGUCAACCAUUACUUUAGAUUCAGGUAGUACAUUGUUUUAAUUAAGUCAGCAUCGUUUGUUUGUUACAAGGUAGGUAUGAUAAUUCGGUGUUCUUACUGCUUGGAAUUUGUUUUUUUUGCCGUCUUGAUAGAUGUUCUCAUCGCGUCUGAGCAGACCUAAAAAGUGAAUCAGCGGUUUGUAUAUUCCGCAAUGAUGUAGCUUUUGUUUGAUUACAAAUUUUUAGAUUAAGCUGUUUCAUUUGAUUUGCCAGUAAAUGAUUGUUAAUUGAAUAUCUAAUUGACUUGCAAAGUGUGGCUGUGGCAUUUUCUUCACUAUCAGUUCAAUAUGUCAUUUGUUGUCUACAAACUGCCCGUGUGAGUGUGAAGUAGCAAAAUUUGAUUGGUGGGAUGCAAUUGUAUUUGAUAUAUUUUGUAGCCUGAAGGAGUUGAACGAGGUUUUGCCGGAGGGGCUUCCGUUGGGAAUGGUGAAGGAAUUUGAGGAAUCAUGCAGGAGUGCCUUGUUGGUGCGGCAGUGUUUUAUCAAUCUUCGUGAUAAUUUUAGGCAGGCUAUUGAUCCUUCAUUGGCAGCUAAAUCUAGAGGUCUCUUUCCACCUUUUAUUUGUUGAUUGUCAUAAGCAUUUUUUUGACUUAAGAUGGAGAUUGGAGAGAUUUUUGUAUCUUUUUAUAGGAGUUUGUUCUCACACAUCCAAUUCAUUACAGUUUUGCAAAGGAUCCAGAUAACCUAUGUUAUAACUUAUAAGAGUUCACUGGAUUCAAGGCAAAUUUUUUGUACAGUGAGUGAAUUAAUUUUCUUAUAUUACUGUAUUGGCACCAGUCUACAAGAUAGUUACCGAUAAUAUUUAUUUGUAACAUAUCAUGAUUCUGCCUUCUUGUUUUAUGAAUUGGCGUCUAAUAGGUUUGUCUAGCCUUCAACUAUACAGUAACAUAUCCAACACAAUGUCAUUUCUGGUGUACAAGUAGGUUAUUGACAUUUUCUUUUUGAAGUGGUUGUUGACAAUUUUUGAGCUUGGGAUUUUACGUAUGAAUUUAUUCUUAUAUUGUUUUUUUUCUUUUCCCAAUUGAAAAACUACUCAAAACUGUGUGUAUGCUCUACUUUCAUCUAAGAAUGAGUAAUUUCUGAUGAUCCUAAAUAUCAGGUCUUAAAGUAAGAAAGCAAAUUGUACUAGAUGGCCUUUUGAGUUGUGGGAAGAGUACUGUACUUGCAAUGCUUGUUAACUGGGCCCGCACGGAAGGUUGGCUUGUGCUUUAUGUCCCUCGAGGUCGAGACUGGACACUCGGGGAUUAUUCUAUAAAAAUCCUGAUACUAAUCUGUGGGAUACCCCUGUGCAGGCUGUAAACACUCUACAAGUAAGAAAUAUGCAAAUUUCAUUAUACUACUUUGUUUAUUAUCUUGUAAAGAAUUAGUCAGAAGAUAUUUCACUGUAGUUCAUUUUUUAAUCUUAUUUUUUAUAAUGCAUAUGAUUUUGCACUUGCUUACAUUAGGUUGCUUUUACAACUAUUUUGUCUAUUAAGUGGCAUGAGAUUUCAAAAUUGGGUGUGUUACUUUGACUUGUAGCAUCUCUACCUUAAAAUGAUUUUAUUGUGAUGAAUCUGGUCAGUUUAUAGUUGCCUCUCAGUUUCUUAAUCACAGAACUCUGUAAACCUUCCAGCUUCAGUUGGUGUCAUUUAAUGAUUGUGUUUGAAUGCAUUUGUUAUUUAUUACUAUCGAACCUGGCUUCUUGGUUGUUUAUUUCAGGAUUUCUUGAAGUUCA
rnacentral:lncRNA from 1 species